AGAGUUUGAUCCUGGCUCAGGAUGAACGCUGGCGGCGUGCCUAACACAUGCAAGUCGAGCGAUUCUCUUCGGAGAAGAGCGGCGGACGGGUGAGUAACGCGUGGGUAACCUGCCCUGUACACACGGAUAACAUACCGAAAGGUAUGCUAAUACGAGAUAAUAUACUUUUAUCGCAUGGUAGAAGUAUCAAAGCUUUUGCGGUACAGGAUGGACCCGCGUCUGAUUAGCUAGUUGGUAAGGUAACGGCUUACCAAGGCGACGAUCAGUAGCCGACCUGAGAGGGUGAUCGGCCACAUUGGAACUGAGACACGGUCCAAACUCCUACGGGAGGCAGCAGUGGGGAAUAUUGCACAAUGGGCGAAAGCCUGAUGCAGCAACGCCGCGUGAGCGAUGAAGGCCUUCGGGUCGUAAAGCUCUGUCCUCAAGGAAGAUAAUGACGGUACUUGAGGAGGAAGCCCCGGCUAACUACGUGCCAGCAGCCGCGGUAAUACGUAGGGGGCUAGCGUUAUCCGGAAUUACUGGGCGUAAAGGGUGCGUAGGUGGUUUCUUAAGUCAGAGGUGAAAGGCUACGGCUCAACCGUAGUAAGCCUUUGAAACUGGGAAACUUGAGUGCAGGAGAGGAGAGUGGAAUUCCUAGUGUAGCGGUGAAAUGCGUAGAUAUUAGGAGGAACACCAGUUGCGAAGGCGGCUCUCUGGACUGUAACUGACACUGAGGCACGAAAGCGUGGGGAGCAAACAGGAUUAGAUACCCUGGUAGUCCACGCCGUAAACGAUGAGUACUAGCUGUCGGAGGUUACCCCCUUCGGUGGCGCAGCUAACGCAUUAAGUACUCCGCCUGGAAGUACGCUCGCAAGAGUGAAACUCAAAGGAAUUGACGG
rnacentral:rRNA from 1 species